rnacentral:misc_RNA from 1 species
CUGAGCUCGUGCCCCUCGUGGGUCGACCUCCCACCCUGUGUGAUCGCUACCGCGUUGCUUUGGCGGGCCGCCGGGCGCGACCCGGCCGCUGGCUCUGCUAGCGAGCGCCCGCCAGAGACCCCCCAAUCCUGAGUAUGCGUGUCGUCUGAGUACUAUACAAUAGUUA